UGGUUCAGUCAGUGGUGGUACAUGACCUUUCUUAGUUGAAGCAAUCCAUUAGGUUGAUCCUGAUUUAAAAAAAAAACUAAAAAACCUGCUAACUAGUGUGUAAAAUUUUUUUUUUUAGUUGAAACUCCGGCAUUUAUUGUGUAUUGAGGCGAAUAAAGAAAACAGCAACCAGCGAGUAAAUUUGAGCUCUCCCAGCUGGUAUUUCAACCUUGAGUCGUUCCUUCUUGAGUUCUGUCUCAAAAUCACACUAACAGACUGUUCUUGCCGCCAACCGUGAACGUCCUCUCAAGAACUGCCCCACUGGAAAAAAAAGUAGUUGCUUUUAUAUUUGUCCAUAUACCCAUAAUCCCUUGCGUCUUCAUGUGAUCCCAUAGUUCAUUGCGUCCAUGUCCCAUAAUGCAUUGCAUCUUUAUUGCAUAAAAAUGCAAUGCAAGUCCUCCCUCAUUCUUUUACGUUAUCUGGCCGAGGACGGGUUACGGCAGAGCGGUAAGUGCUUUUUUCUCCCUCAUUUCAACUGCAGUAGCUUUACAUGCUAAGCAAAUACGGGCUCUUUUUUGGCGGGGACAAGGCAAGUCGCGACCAGUUGUGCUCGUCCCAGGUUCUGUCUCAUGUCCGCCACAGUCUUGAUAGGUUUUCUAACACACUUCUUAGAGCAACAUGAGUGUGUGUGAAGGUAGAACAAUAACAAGUCUAUGAUGCACUUAGAUGUAGAGAGGUGCCUGCAUACUACACUGGAGUUAUUAGUAAGGCUUAAACCUGGCCUGGGUGGUUCAGGAAACCUCUGAACCACCUUCCAUGAUUGAAGCUUAACCAAUGCUGGGAAUAUGGAAUUACCAGGAAGCACAGGUUAACAGCCAAAAUUGAUCACAUCUUUGCCUUUUGUUGACAUCACUCAUUGCUACUUUUAAUCAAAUGGUCUAAUGAGGUUUUGAAACCGGUCCAAUGAUGACAGGCGUCAUGCCUGCUCGAUGUCAAUGGUUGUUGCUUUCAUUAAUUAUACACAUUGUCUUUGCCUCAUUUGAUGCCUAGAAAAGUCAGAACAAGAUUUCUGUUGAGGAAUCUGCAGAU